rnacentral:rRNA from 1 species
GACGAACGCUGGCGGCGUGCUUAACACAUGCAAGUCGAACGGAAAGGCCCUGCUUUUGUGGGGUGCUCGAGUGGCGAACGGGUGAGUAACACGUGAGUAACCUGCCCUUGACUUUGGGAUAACUUCAGGAAACUGGGGCUAAUACCGGAUAGGAGCUCCUGCUGCAUGGUGGGGGUUGGAAAGUUUCGGCGGUUGGGGAUGGACUCGCGGCUUAUCAGCUUGUUGGUGGGGUAGUGGCUUACCAAGGCUUUGACGGGUAGCCGGCCUGGGAGGGUGGCCGGCCACCUUGGGCCUGCGGUACGGCGCAGACUCCUACGGGGGGCAGCAGUGGGGAAUAUUGCACAAUGGGCGGAAGCCUGAUGCAGCAACGCCGCGUGCGGGAUGACGGCCUUCGGGUUGUAAACCGCUUUCGCCUGUGACGAAGCGUGAGUGACGGUAAUGGGUAAAGAAGCACCGGCUAACUACGUG